rnacentral:misc_RNA from 1 species
UUAAUUUCUAAAUUUUACGUAAUAUUAUAAUUUGGUUACCCUAUUUUAAAAAUUUAACUAUUUUAUUUUUUAAUUUUUAUUUAACCUAAUGCGUUGCUGUCUUUCUGUGGAUGCUUGUACAAAUAUUCUCAUUGAGAAUGUGGCUUUAGCAAAUCUCCUAGAUGACUAUAUGUAUAUUUCGUAUCUUAUUAAGAAUACGGCCCUAAACAAUCUCGUUUAGAUUAUGGAUCUGGACAUGGCAGAACACCUUUGUGUGUGUUUUCACACAGUUGGAUUUGUAUGAUAGGAUUUAUGCAGGCAUUGUGAUGCAGUAUAGGAAGAUGAAGAUCCCAACACAAUUUAGGAAUUAUUUUUAAUGUAAAAUUAGU